CCCGGGGCGUCAGCUCACGCAGGGUUGUAGAGGAGGAUUGGAGUACUGGACAUCGCUUACAUGGAGGGCCAUGUCUAUGAGCACUUUGCCAAUGGCAAGCACGACAGCUACCAGAUCGACUACCGCCUCAUUGUGGGCGACACAGAGCCAGCCAGAUUGCAGCUGUCGCCUCGCGACCCUGAGCACCAGGGGCCAUUUGGCCACAACACAUCUCAUGGGCAUGAGACUGCAGCUCAGCGCUACAGCGCCACGCGCAUCCAGGCUGGCUACGAACCAGAGAGGUGAGACUCCUACGGUUUCAAAGGAGUGCUGAUCAGCAAAAUUAACCAUGUUUGCAUCACUAGGUUAACGUUAGUGUCACUAAACAAGUUCAUUAGGAGUGGACUUUAUUUUUCUUUUGGAUUGUGUACUUUUAAACUGUUGCACAGACUGGGUUGGGUUCUCAGUGAUGUGCAAUUUUAGCCCAAUUCCAUAUUGUUGGUCUCAGAAGAACACAUUCCUUUCGGGGAUUAUCAUCACAUAAAAUAGACCUAUACAUUUACAGUCUCUACAGAGAAAUACAGUCAUGUCAUAGUAUAAUAAAAUGUCCUAAUGUGUAAAUAGUGAUGUUUACUCAUUUAUAAUGUCCAGCACUACUCAAAUAUAACUGCUUGCCUUCUUUGCCCAUCAUAUUAACAUUCCCAUGUCAGCAGAGUAAAAAGGACCAUAAAUCUGAUUAAGAAUUAUAUUAUCAAGACCGAUAUAAUCUGUGUUGUAGAACAGAUAUGAAAACAUUUUGCCAUAGCAAUGCUCAAAAGCAUCACAUUCCAUUUGUUUUACAGACCCAUAUCUCUGUACAUUUCAAUUUACAGAAUGGACUAAAUUAACUUCCAGGUGUUUAAAGCUCAGUUGGGGGCUGUGUCAGAUCCUUUGUGAAUAACAUAAUAAAGUUGAGUAUUGGGCAGCCUGACCACGGCUUCAAAACGAUUGUGUGGAUUUGCUACAUCACCAGUCCUCCUUUUAUAAGCAAGAUGAUUAUUUCAACCCAAGUCAAAAACAUUUUUUGUCUCAUCCAAACGGAAUUUUCACACCUGAACUAUUAGGCCACCUAAUAGCGUGGACAGUAAAACAAAGGCGCAUCGCCCGUCUGCUCUCUCUUAACAUGUCCCGUCGUCAUCCACCACGUUGAGAGGAUGAGAGUUUUCUCAAACUGAGCAGGUCGAGUCUUUAAAAUGUGUAAACUCCAACUGUGAUUCUGGGUGAUUUAGCUAAGGGCUAGACUUUCGCUUGACUUUGAGAGAUGCCACAGAGGCUAGUCUGUAACGGUCGCAGAUGAAGACCAGCUGUGUUCCUUGACGUCGUUUUUUGUUGUCUGAAGUACGCGACGCUAUCGUCUUUAUGGCUGACUACCUGAUCAGUGGGGGUACAGGCUAUGUGCCUGAAGAUGGGCUCACUGCCCAGCAGCUUUUUGCUAUCGGAGAUGGUCUCAAAUACAGACUUGGAGAUCAUGACCUCUCUUGUUCUGCUUUUCAAGCCGCCAUCUUUAAUCUCUGUAAUGGAGGCUUUAUCUGCACUAGAUCCCACACUAGAGGACACUCUCAACUGUGGCCUUAUGAUUGUCGUACUGCUGGGAUGCUCUCUCUCUCACACACUGAUGUUCGCAUACGCUGCUCUAUUCUGUUUACAGUUAGGCUUCCUUUGGCUGCCUCUCUGUCUCCCGUGUCCUCUCAAGCAGUGGUGGGACAGUAAUGCCACUUUAAUGGAUAGGCUGUGACAUGACGCAUGCUUAAGAACAUUAACAGGACAUCAUUGGACAACAUACUCUUAGGUAGAUUAACUUAUUCCAUACUCCAGAAUAUGCGCUCAACUCUGCAACUCAAGCAGGUAUGUUCAAUUCUUGCUACUGGGACAUGAAGUUUGAAGUUGAAAUUGACCUCACAUGUAUGCACACAAAGUGUCCGAGCUUCUGCUAGUCGCAGGUGGCUAUGGGAGCAAUCAUCAGUCAUGUCUCAUAGUUCUAUCAGCAUGGGUGUGUGGAGCUCCCCACGGUCAUUUGGUAUAUGAUGCACUAACUGAUACGAAAAUGUGAGGGUGUAGCAUGUAUGUCUCAGUGAACUAAUUGGUAUAUAUUUUUUUAUUUGGCUUGUUUUUCUUUGU